rnacentral:rRNA from 1 species
CCCAAUGUGAACGUUACCAAACUGUUGCCUCGGCGGGAUCUCUGCCCCGGGUGCGUCGCAGCCCCGGACCAAGGCGCCCGCCGGAGGACCAACCAAAACUCUUUUUGUAUACCCCCUCGCGGGUUUUUUAUAAUCUGAGCCUUCUCGGCGCCUCUCGUAGGCGUUUCGAAAAUGAAUCAAAACUUUCAACAACGGAUCUCUUGGUUCUGGCAUCGAUGAAGAACGCAGCGAAAUGCGAUAAGUAAUGUGAAUUGCAGAAUUCAGUGAAUCAUCGAAUCUUUGAACGCACAUUGCGCCCGCCAGUAUUCUGGCGGGCAUGCCUGUCCGAGCGUCAUUUCAACCCUCGAACCCCUCCGGGGGGUCGGCGUUGGGGAUCGGCCCUGCCUCUUGGCGGUGGCCGUCUCCGAAAUACAGUGGCGGUCUCGCCGCAGCCUCUCCUGCGCAGUAGUUUGCACACUCGCAUCGGGAGCGCGGCGCGUCCACAGCCGUUAAACACCCAACUUCUGAAAUGUUGACCUCGGAUCAGGUAGGAAUACCCGCUGAACUUAAGCAUAUCAAUAAGCGGAGGAA